AUCUCUUGUAAUGUAUCUUCAUUUCUCAACCAUAAAGGUAUGUCAUGUACAAGUUUGGUUUCAUAUCCUCUUUUGUUGGGAUUUUUAUAACACUUUUUCCGGGGUCUCACUCGUAAGAGACCCCGGAAAAAGUGUUGUAAAAAUCUUAAUAAAAGAGAUCAUUCAGGUAUCACGGAUUUAUCAUUCAGGUAUCACGAUUUGUUACCCAAUUAUGUAACAGAAUGAAAGAUUUAUUUAUUUACGAAUAAAUAAAUAAAUAAAUAAAUCUUUCAAUUCAUUCAUAACAGAAUAAGUGCCGUUUGGUCAUUCCAGC
rnacentral:lncRNA from 1 species